rnacentral:rRNA from 1 species
AGAGUGGCAGACGGGUGAGUAACACGUGGGCAACCUACCCCGAGGCGGGGGAUAACCACUGGAAACGGUGGCUAAUACCGCAUGAGACCACGACCCUGCGGGGUUGGGGUUAAAGGCUUCGGCCACCUUGGGAGGGGCCCGCGGCCGAUUAGCUAGUUGGUGAGGUAACGGCUCACCAAGGCGACGAUCGGUAGCUGGUCUGAGAGGAUGAUCAGCCACACUGGUACUGAGACACGGACCAG